UUCAGGGGCAGUAAGUGUUUUCUUCUUCCCUCUUAAAAGAAGCUACGGACAAGGCUGUCUUUGCUAGGAAUCUAAGCCUGAAGAUCUCAUUUUUACCUAUGUGUUCUAUGAGAUGCUGCCUCAACAUCACUGAGUGGCUGAGCUGGCACUGGUAUUUCUUCCCUUGUCUGCUGUGAAGAGUAAAUGGGAUGGUGACAUACUUCCAAAGUGAAAGAUGAAAAGAAUCUGACUGAGUGCAUAGCAGCACAACCGGAGAUGCUCCACGGCUCCUCUGAAAGAGGAGCGAUAGAUCAGAGCGCGACAGAGCCGGCGGAAGAAUACGAAACCAGUUACAUGAACUGUGAACUAUAUGUCAGUGUUCUAUUUGCCUUGAGACAGGGU
rnacentral:lncRNA from 1 species